GACGUAGGGCGCGAGCGUUGUCCGGAUUUAUUGGGCGUAAAGAGCUCGUAGGCGGUUUGUCGCGUCGAAUGUGAAAACCCACAGCUCAACUGUGGGCUUGCAUUCGAUACGGGCAGGCUAGAGUUCGGUAGGGGAGACUGGAAUUCCUGGUGUAGCGGUGAAAUGCGCAGAUAUCAGGAGGAACACCAGUGGCGAAGGCGGCGACCUGGGCCAAUAUUGACGCUGAGGUGCGAAAGCUAGGGGAGCAAACAGG
rnacentral:rRNA from 1 species